UACAACGCAGACGAGCAAAAUGGAUGGUGUGGAGAUCCGAAACGCUGGCGAGCUCGACGGUCGUCGACGUCGAGAGCUGACUCAAUUCCAGAAGUUUUGGGCCAAGAUUGGGUUCAUUACAAUGGUUUUCUCGGCAAGCGGCAUCCUCUGGACUUCUUCCGUGGAGCAUGGGCUCGUCUCCGCUAUGCACUUCUUCUUGUUGUACAUGCUGUUAGUGCUGGGGUCGGGGUUGGUUCUGCUCUCAGUGAUGCUUCCUCGACCCCCAGGCAUGGUCAGGCUUGCCACGUUGGUGGCGCUCGCGCUGUCCUUGUUCUUCUUGGGACGUCAUGAUGAACUUUUCCUUUAACCUAAGAGUCUCUUAUGAUGCUGUGCUCUCCCUGAUUGGUCUGUUCUAGAUCUCCUUGAUCAUUAUCUUGGAUUUAGAUGUGGUAUAUAUAUGUUAUAUCUGGUGCUUAAGUUUGAUGUCUUGUAAUUAUGGUUUGCCUGUUUUGUUUUUAAAGUUUGAUAACUGAAAUGAUAUAUGUGAUCCGUUUCUCUUUCCUCUAUAUAUGAUCGAAGCUGUGUA
rnacentral:lncRNA from 1 species